UCUGGACUGACACUGACACUGAGGUGCGAAAGCGUGGGUAGCAAACAGGAUUAGAUACCCUGGUAGUCCACGCCGUAAACGAUGUCGACCAGCCGUUGGGUGCCUAGCGCACUUUGUGGCGAAGUUAACGCGAUAAGUCGACCGCCUGGGGAGUACGGCCGCAAGGUUAAAACUCAAAUGAAUUGACGGGGGCCCGCACAAGCGGUGGAGCAUGUGGUUUAAUUCGAUGCAACGCGAAGAACCUUACCUACUCUUGACAUCCUGCGAACUUGUGAGAGAUCACUUGGUGCCUUCGGGAGCGCAGAGACAGGUGCUGCAUGGCUGUCGUCAGCUCGUGUUGUGAAAUGUUGGGUUAAGUCCCGUAACGAGCGCAACCCUUGUCCUUAUUUGCCAGCGGGUAAUGCCGGGAACUCUAAGGAGACUGCCGGUGACAAACCGGAGGAAGGUGGGGACGACGUCAAGUCAUCAUGGCCCUUACGAGUAGGGCUACACACGUGCUACAAUGGCCGGUACAAAGGGUUGCGAGCUCGCGAGAGUCAGCUAAUCCCGAAAAGCCGGUCUCAGUCCGGAUCGGAGUCUGCAACUCGACUCCGUGAAGUCGGAAUCGCUAGUAAUCGUGAAUCAGAAUGUCACGGUGAAUACGUUCCCGGGCCUUGUACACACCGCCCGU
rnacentral:rRNA from 1 species